rnacentral:rRNA from 1 species
UGGGGAAUCCUGCACAAUGGGGGAAACCCUGAUGCAGCGACGCCGCGUGAGCGAUGAAGGUUUUCGAAUCGUAAAGCUCUGUCCUAUGGGAAGAUAAUGACGGUACCAUGGGAGGAAGCCCCGGCUAACUACGUGCCAGCAGCCGCGGUAAUACGUAGGGGGCGAGCGUUGUCCGGAAUUACUGGGCGUAAAGGGUUCGCAGGCGGCAUGGCAAGUCCGAUGUAAAAGGCGAAGGCUCAACCUUCGUAAGCAUCGGAAACUGUCAAGCUUGAGUGAAGGAGAGGCAAGUGGAAUUCCUAGUGUAGCGGUGGAAUGCGUAGAUAUUAGGAGGAAUACCGGUGGCGAAGGCGACUUGCUGGACUUCAACUGACGCUGAGGAACGAAAGCGUGGGUAGCAAACAGG